UACAGAGGGUGCAAGCGUUAAUCGGAAUUACUGGGCGUAAAGCGUGCGUAGACGGUUAUGUAAGUCAGGUGUGAAAGCCCCGGGCUCAACCUGGGAAUGGCAUUUGAGACUGAAUAGCUAGGGUGCGGAAGAGGGAAGCGGAAUUUCCGGUGUAGCGGUGAAAUGCGUAGAUAUCGGAAGGAACACCAGUGGCGAAAGCGGCUUCCUGGUCCAGCACCGACGCUCAGGCACGAAAGCGUGGGGAGCAAACAGG
rnacentral:rRNA from 1 species